rnacentral:rRNA from 1 species
GACGAACGCUGGCGGCGUGCUUAACACAUGCAAGUCGAACGGUAAUGCCCUUCGGGGUACACGAGUGGCGAACGGUUGAGUAACACGUGGGUGAUCUGCCCUGCACUUCGGGAUAAGCCUUGGAACCUGGGUCUAAUACCGGAUAGGACCACUGCCUGCAUGGGUGGUGGUGGAAAGCUUUUGCGGUGUGGGAUGGGCCCUCGGCCUAUCUGCUUGUUGGUGGGGUGAUGGCCUACCAAGGCGACGACGGGUAGCCGGCCUGAGAGGGUGAACGGCCACACUGGGACUGAGAUACGGCCCAGACGCCUACGGGAGGCAGCAGUGGGGAAUGUUGCACAAUGGGCGCAAGCCUGAUGCAGCGACGCCGCGUGAGGGAUGACGGACUUCGGGUUGUAAACCUCUUUCAGCACCGACGAAGCGCAAGUGACGGUAGGUGCAGAAGAAGGACCGGCCAACUACGUGCCAGCCGCCGCAGUAA